AGAGUUUGAUCCUGGCUCAGGAUGAACGCUGGCGGCGUGCCUAACACAUGCAAGUCGAGCGAACCUUUCGGGGUGAGCGGCGGACGGGUGAGUAACGCGUGGGUAACCUGCCCUGUACACACGGAUAACAUACCGAAAGGUAUGCUAAUACGGGAUAAUAUAUAAGAGUCGCAUGGCUUUUGUAUCAAAGCUCCGGCGGUACAGGAUGGACCCGCGUCUGAUUAGCUAGUUGGUAAGGUAACGGCUUACCAAGGCAACGAUCAGUAGCCGACCUGAGAGGGUGAUCGGCCACAUUGGAACUGAGACACGGUCCAAACUCCUACGGGGGGCAGCAGUGGGGAAUAUUGCACAAUGGGCGAAAGCCUGAUGCAGCAACGCCGCGUGAGCGAUGAAGGCCUUCGGGUCGUAAAGCUCUGUCCUCAAGGAAGAUAAUGACGGUACUUGAGGAGGAAGCCCCGGCUAACUACGUGC
rnacentral:rRNA from 1 species